rnacentral:rRNA from 1 species
UACAGAGGGUGCGAGCGUUAAUCGGAAUUACUGGGCGUAAAGCGUGCGUAGACGGUUAUUUAAGUCGGGUGUGAAAGCCCCGGGCUCAACCUGGGAAUUGCAUUCGAGACUGAAUAGCUAGGGUACGGUAGAGGGAAGCGGAAUUUCCGGUGUAGCGGUGAAAUGCGUAGAUAUCGGAAGGAACAUCAGUGGCGAAAGCGGCUUCCUGGACCAGUACCGACGUCAGGCAUCGAAAAGCGUGGG